rnacentral:ribozyme from 1 species
UAUGGGAAUUGUUCUGUAAGAGGAAUGGAUCCGACGUUCCUAGUAGGCUACUAGAGGCUCUCCUUCUUAACUCCUACUCAAUACGUCCACGACGCGCAGAACGGUAACUUGUCGCCUAGAUAUCCUAGCUUGGGUACACGGGGAAACUCAACGCCUUGGGCGGAUGGGUGGCAAGGCUGAAUUGAGAGGG